CCAUUCCAUUCCAUGAAACGAACGCUACCUUAGAGACAGAGAUCCGAAGCCGGUGAGUCUCCGGUCACCGGCCUCCGGCGCGAAGCCGGUGAACCAUGAUGGCAGCAGUGACGGCGUCGUGGCUCGAAGUCGAAAUAGAGACCGCGGGGAGGUCGGUAGCUACGGUUACCACUUAGCAAGUGUUAUCUAUUUCGUUGUUUAGAAUGUUAUAGAGGGGUAUUAAUGCCCAAUUAUUUGAGAUAAGACGUAAGGUGAUGUGAUGCUUGGUUGCACACUUGACUGUGUGCUUCUAGGCAACGUUUUGUGCAUUAUGUUCGCAUGAGGAGUCCUAACUUGAGUUACGAAUGUCGCUGUGAACGUAUCUUUUGCUUGCACAAGCGGUUAGCAUGCAACCAUGAUAGGAGUACACCAUAACAACAAUAAAACCUUCAGAGACAGAGAUCCGAAUCCGGUGAGUCUCAGAGACAGAGAUCCGAAGCCGGUGAGUCUCCGGUCACCGGCCUCCGGCGCGAAGCCGGUGAACCAUGAUGGCAGCAGUGACGGCGUCAUGGCUUGAAGUCGAAAUAGAGACGGCGGGGCUUUAACCGCAAGGUAUAUCGAGAAUAGUUAUAGAAUAUUAUAUAGGGAGCGUUGAUUGGCUUGGCUGCAACUACUGUUGGAUUGAGUUCUGAAGCUGCGCAACAUCUCGAGGCGUACUUUUAGCACGUGGUGAAGAAUUCUGGAGCGCUUAUACUUCUUGACAAGGGACACCAGAUGGGGCACAUUACUACAGUAGAGAUGUCUUUUAAGAAGGUCGGGCUUGCUCUCUAUCCUCCCACGGUAUUCUGUUGUUGAAGAUGUCGGCUCCGGCACCGGCACCAGCACCAGCACCUCCAGCUCCGUACGCCGGCGGUUCCCUCUGGCGGCUCAGCCGGAGAUGAUGAAAGCGGCGCACUCACACUUUAUUGAUUGAGAAGUUGAACUUAGUAAUCGUGGGGCUCGCUAUGGAAAAUGAUGAAGAAAAAGAAAGAUUAAAUGGAAUUAUUGCGGGGUUGUUGGCUGAAAAAGAAAAAUAUAAGGUUGAUAAAGAUGCUAUGCUCGAUAGGAUGUCACAAAUUGAAGCUAUGUUAACAAGUACAGUUCGAAGAUAAGCUAUAAACACUUGGUUUUGAAUGUUUCGAUGUUUAUCAUAUUAAGAUAUUUUAUUUAUUUAAUGUUUGAGUUGACAUUUC